AUGUCACUAAUGUCAGCUGUCUGUAAACGAAAUGGGAUUUUUUUAGCACUUGCUUUAGUUUAGAAUUAUUUCCUCUGUAAAUUCAUAUGAAAAUAUUUCAUUUACGUUUAUUUCUUAAAUCAAGUUGAAGGAUAAUAAAGUGUAUUAAGUUCAUUGUGUUUCUAGCCCCUAUUAAAAUUAAGGUGAAGGUAAGUGUCGUUAUUUAAUGUUUGGUGUUUUGAGCAAAUUGUAAUAAAUAAUUUACCUAUAUCAGUAUUGAAACCAUCUUGCACGUCCGUUUCAUCGAUUUCCUUUGGUAUUGCAUGCAGCGUUACCUUGAAAAGAAGAUGGAUCCCAAAGGAGAUACAUUUAACGAAUCAGUCUCAACAAUAUUAGAGAGAAAAGUCAGGGGUUGGCUUAGUGGUGUUAUUGACGACAUGAGACGCAGUAGCCCAGUCCAGCAAUGGUUGGAUUCCCUGCCUACAGAAUCAAGUUCAGAAGAUCUAGAAACAAAACAGGCAUGCGAACCAACUGAAGAGAGUUCCAACAAACCUGAAGAAACAGAAAGUGAGACAACAAUAAUUGAAACGGCAAAAUACAAGACACAAGAAGAUGUUAAUUUAGAAGUGCCUAAUACUAGAGAAACAUGGAAGAGGAAAUCCUUAGAGAGUGGAUUACUAGCAAGUACACCCCUACGAGGGAAUGUCAAGAGGCUCCAACGUGACCAUUCCAUACAAUCAGAAGGAUAUUCACCAAAGUUUAAAAAUCCAUUAUUCAGAGACCACUCACUUCAGUCUGAUGCCAGUGGUUCCAGUGGUAGUUCGGUAAUGAAUGUAUUGGGAGCUAGAAAAGUUGAUGCUGAGUCUGUUCUAUUAGCCCUAGGUUUUGGACCAAGUGAGAAGCAGCAGAAAUUACAAAGAAUUCCUGACAGAUUUUUAGUACCAUCAAAGCUCAAAGGCAUCAGCACAGAGGAAUUCAUAAAGAAUGAACAACAUUCAAUGAGGAUGCAUGAUUGUGGCAUUUUUGGGUACAGAGGAUUAACAGAAGAUGAUUAAAAGCUUGCACAAGCCUGGGAUCCUGCUCUACAUUUACUUAGGAAUCUAAGGGACUGGCUGCCAGAAUUAAAGACACUGUGAGCUCAUUCUGCGUAGAUCGGACCGUUAACAGCUAAAAAAAAAUACUUAUUAUUGUAAAAUGUAGGUAGAUAAUGUAACUUUGACUUUUCGGAUGACCAACAUCACGGUCCGCGACGUGACCACGACGGCUACAAAGUCUUCGAAACGUCGGAAGAAAAUUAUUAUAUAAAAAUCGCGAUAAAAUCCGCAAAAUAGUUUCAUUUCAAUGUCUAAUAUUCGCGUAAACAUAAGAAAUAAUUUAAUACGACCUCUUAAAUUUUAAUUGUUAUUGAAAAAUUUCCCAUAUCAUAAAGUCGACUAAAUAAUUAUUGGAAAAGCUUAAUUCUUUUUUCCCGUGCGACACAAUAUCUUUAGGUAUCAUAUCAGAGAUAAAAUAUCAUGCUAAACAAAAUCAAGCAUGUGGUGUGAAACGUUUUUACAACUAACAAUUCAUAGUCAAGGUUUGAUUUAUUUCAACUUUUGCAUAAGCGCACUAAUUAAUCAUAAUAUGAAUGUAGUCAAGAGGUAUUAAAUAUAAAGUAACUGGGUAGAUUGGAUAUAACAACUUGGGUGCAUAUAUAACAUUACUAUUUAUAUAUUUAUGUGCUACUAACAACUAAAACCACUAACAGAACACUGCACACCCGUAUGCCGUUUCAUGAAACCAGUUUCUCCAAGUUGCCAUAGGUCAUAUCAAGUUCCUGAGAUCGCUGUACAGGAAUCCGCAUGUUCCACCGUCGACAAUUGUAGCUAAAAUAAUGGACUGUAUAUUACAAGAUGACGUCUACCGCGAGGAGGCAUUAAUGAAGGUUCGCCAUUCCAUAGCAGACAUGCGGAGUCCGCCCAACGUGUACGCAUUCCUCGCUUCACACCUACG
rnacentral:misc_RNA from 1 species